UACUAAAGGCAUUUCAAAGUCACUUGCUUGCAUAAUUGGUAAAAUAAUUCAAAAUCAAGUUUGAAAUCUCUAAUCCUUACUAUGAACAUUUUCUUUUAUAUUUUGAGUAAUAUAUGUUAAGUGAACCUUUACUAACUAUAAGCUUUAGGGCUCAACUUGAAGCAACCUUAAUAAAUUUAUUUUGGAAACAAAACGAAUAGACUGCAAAAAUGCACUGCACCUUCAUAUGUCAAUGUUGUUCUUGGCUAAAAAACCAAUAUCAAAGGAAACUGCAGCAGGGCAACAAAACGCACAAAACAACCUCAACAGUGAUUAAAGAAGCGAAGCUGAACUGAUAACCCUGCAAAACAAAACUGCAGUUGCAUAAACAUAGACGGAAAACAAAUCCAGCAGAAAACAUUCACAUCGUGCACAACACAGCUGCAGAAAACAACAUGGAAGGCAGCCAACAAUAAAAAAAUAGAAAUAGACUUGCAGCCGAAACAUAAAAGUACAAAAAUGCAUCAGCACUCAAACAAAAAUUAGUUGCUCCAAAACCCUGAACUAAACUCAGCUCCUUCCCGUAUUCUUAUUAUAAUCCUUACUGAUUAACAUUUUCUUUUAUAUUUUGAGUACUAUAUGCUAACUGAACCUUUACUAACUAUAAACUUUAGGGCUCAACUUGAAGGAACCUUAUUAAAUUUAUUUUAGAAACAAAAAGAAUAGACUGCAAAAAUGUAGUGCUCCUUCCUAUGUCAUUGUUGUUCUAAGCUAAAAAUCAAUUUUAAAACAACUGAUAAAACCUAAUUUUAGUAAUUGUUUUCCUCCUUGAUAAACCUCUUAUUCCUCUUUUACCGGUGCAUCCACAUUAUGCUGUAAAAAAAAUUAGCACAAUAUGUAGGUUUUAGAAUUUUUUAGAAUAAAAGAAAGGAACAAUAAACCUUCAAUAGGUGCCGCCGGCGGCCGCUUUGAGCACUUCGAAAGAGAAAAACAGGAAGGAAUAAAAGAAUUACCAUGUUUUUCCAACAAUUUUGACGGAUGAGAUCGGUGCCAAAUUUGAUUAAGAAUUUGGCGACAUCGAUUCAACAGUGGAGAGAAGUAAUAAAGAACAAACAAUAAACAAACUAAGGACAUAUUAGAGGUUGUCUGAGGCAUGAUUCCAAAUCACAAUAUAAGAAUUUGAAGAAUCUCUAGUCACAUCACAUGGAAGAAAGGAAUGUGAUUACCAUCGCCAAGUUGUGUUUCAUCAUCAUCCUCAACAUUUUCAAAUGUAUUAAGUCCCAACGAUUUCGAAAUUUGAGCACUCACUGCAGCCAAAACACACAAAUCACAAUAUAGGUCAAAUUAUAGGUGAAAGUUCAUCAAAACAUUAUAUCAAACAGAUGGGGGAGGCAAAAGUAAGUGGAAAAACUGAUUCACAAAGCCUACCAUAUAAGAAACAGAUGCACAUUCCAGUUUGGUUUUGUUCAACUUCAGAUAAUAACAAUUGAAAGCAUAACAUGUAUUUUUAAGAUGUAAAUAAAUCAUAUUAAUAGGUUCAUAC
rnacentral:lncRNA from 1 species